rfam:Perkinsus marinus ATCC 50983 gcontig_1104296236876, whole genome shotgun sequence.
GACAGCGUGUCCGAGUGGUUAAGGAGAUGGACUUGAAAUCCAUUAAGCUCCGCCUGCGCAGGUUCGAAUCCUGCCGCUGUCG